CUUUGGGAAUAGUGAGCUAGUAUACAUCUAAUUGUUAAUGCAGCAAAUGAGCACAAAAAUUUUCAACUAAUUAAGUUUGUUGACAGAGGUUCUCUUGAAGGCUUUUAGAGAGCAUUUGAUUAUAUUUUAUUAUAAUACAGGUGUUUGUUAAAUCAUCUUCUAAUGAACAAUGACCAUUGAAUUACUGGUCUCAUUUGAGAAGGAACUUUCCAAAGCAUGGCUCAUCUAUGCAAGAGAUAUUUAUUGAGAGACAAAUGUGCACUCUUGGGGACGAAAGAUUCAAAUCCCGACAGAAAAUCUGAUUGGCAUUCUUUUGGUUAUGUUCACACUCCCCUAAUGAGAGUCAUAUAAUUUGUUCUAUGGGACUGAAUUUGCAGCAAUCAACUCUCCGUGUGGUAUUUCUCUAUCAAAAAAAGACUUACAUGGGAAUAAUUAUUUCCAAAUUGUUUCUUGGCUGAAAUUAUUAUGUUUUUCUUAAAUAGGAGGUAAAAUAAUCUAGUGAAAUUGGUACCUACUCUGUAAUCAGAAGUAUGAAUUUAAAGCACAGAAUAGGUAAUUAAUGAUAUUAACUUAAGGAAGUUAAUGAUAUUAACUUAUGGCCAGAGUGUGGCUGAAAACAAGAAAACAAACAAAGUCUUAUUACAUCCAAUAUAGAAGAGACUGAGUUGACAGGAUAAAAGCAAUAAUCCUAG
rnacentral:lncRNA from 1 species